GAUAAGCACUGGAAACGGUGUCUAAUACCGGAUACGAGCUUCAGCCGCAUGGCUAGGAGUUGGAAAGAAUUUCGGUCAAGGAUGGACUCGCGGCCUAUCAGCUAGUUGGUGAGGUAAUGGCUCACCAAGGCGACGACGGGUAGCCGGCCUGAGAGGGUGACCGGCCACACUGGGACUGAGACACGGCCCAGACUCCUACGGGAGGCAGCAGUGGGGAAUAUUGCACAAUGGGCGCAAGCCUGAUGCAGCAACGCCGCGUGAGGGACGACGGCCUUCGGGUUGUAAACCUCUUUUAGUAGGGAAGAAGCGAAAGUGACGGUACCUGCAGAAAAAGCACCGGCUAACUACGUGCCAGCAGCCGCGGUAAUACGUAGGGUGCAAGCGUUGUCCGGAAUUAUUGGGCGUAAAGAGCUCGUAGGCGGUUUGUCGCGUCUGCUGUGAAAACCCGAGGCUCAACCUCGGGCCUGCAGUGGGUACGGGCAGACUAGAGUGCGGUAGGG
rnacentral:rRNA from 1 species